rnacentral:rRNA from 1 species
GAUGAACGCUGGCGGCGUGCCUAACACAUGCAAGUCGAGCGGAAAGGCGCUGCUUUUGCGUGGUUCUCGAGUGGCGAACGGGUGAGUAACACGGGAGUAUCCUGCCCUUGACUGUGUGAUAACUUCAGGAAACUGGGGCUAAUACCGGAUAGGAGCUCCUGCUGCAUGGGGGGCGUUGGAAAGUUUCGGCGGUUGGGGAUGGACUCGCGGGUUAUCAGCUUGUUGGGGGAGUAGUUGCUUACCAAGGGUUCGACGGGUAGCCGGCCUGAGAGGGUGAACGGGCACAUGGCGACUAAGAGAGGGACCAGACUCGAACGUGAGGCAGCGGUGGGAAAUAUUGCACAACGGGGGGACGUGUGAGGAAGAGACGCCGCGAGCGUAAUGACGGCCUACGGAGGAUGAACCGCUUUCGCCUGUGACGAAGCGUGAGUGACGGUACUGGGUAAAGAAGCACCGGCUAACUACGUG